rnacentral:rRNA from 1 species
AGUGAACGCUGGCGGUAGGCCUAACACAUGCAAGUCGAACGGCAGCACAGUAAUAGCUUGCUCUUACGGGUGGCGAGUGGCGGACGGGUGAGGAAUACAUCGGAAUCUACUUUUUCGUGGGUGAUAACGUAGGGAAACUUACGCUAAUACCGCAUACGACCUACGGGUGAAAGCAGGGGAUCUUCGGCCCUUGCGCGUUUGCAUGCGCCGAUGUCGGAUUAGCUAGUUGGCGGGGUAAAGGCCCACCAAGGCGACGAUCCGUAGCUGGUCUGAGAGGAUGAUCAGCCACACUGGAACUGAGACACGGUCCAGAGUCCUACGGGAGGCAGCAGUGGGGAAUAGUGGACAAUGGGCGGAAGCCUGAUCCAGCCAUACCGCGUGGGUGAAGAAGGCCUUCGGGUUGGAAAGCCCUUUUGUUGGGAAAGAAAAGCAGCAGGUUAAUACCCCGCUGUUCUGACGGUACCCAAAGAAUAAGCACCGGCUAACUACGUG